AGCCUUAAGAAGAUAUUUAAGGUAACGCCUGCCCAGUGCUAGUAUAGUAAAUGGCCGCAGUACCUUGACUGUGCUAAGGUAGCAUAAUCAGUUGGCUUUUAAAUGGAGUCGGGAAUGAAUGGAUUUAUAGGGUUAAGCUGUCUCUUUUGUACUUUAUUGAACUUAUUUACUUAGGUGAAAAUACCUAAUUUUUGUUAAAAGACGAGAAGACCCUAGGAGUUUUUACUAGCAACAAUAUAAUAUUGUUGAUGUUUUUGUUGGGGCGACAUGGGAACAAUCAAAACUUCCUUUACGAUUAUGCCGACUUAAUGUAUGUAUAAUUAAACUACCCUAGGGAUAACAGCGUUAUUCUUUUUAGAGCUUGCGACCUCGAUGUUGGACUAGGAAUCAAAUUGGCUAGCCGCCAAUUUUUACUGUUCUGUUCGAACUUAAUCUCC
rnacentral:rRNA from 1 species